GGGCGUGUGGCCAAGUGGAUAAGGCGUCUGCCUCCUAAGUAGAAGACCGAGGGUUCGAAUCCCUCCUCGCUCA
rnacentral:tRNA from 1 species